AACGAACGCUGGCGGCAUGCCUAACACAUGCAAGUCGAACGCGUGGAGCAAUCCACGAGUGGCGCACGGGUGAGUAAUACAUGGGAAUCUGCCCUGGAGUGGGGGAUAACCCGGCGAAAGCCGGGCUAAUACCGCAUACGACCUGAGGGUGAAAGAUUUAUCGCUCUAGGAGGAGCCCAUGUCGGAUUAGCUAGUUGGUGAGGUAACGGCCCACCAAGGCGACGAUCCGUAGCUGGUCUGAGAGGAUGAUCAGCCACACUGGGACUGAGA
rnacentral:rRNA from 1 species